rnacentral:rRNA from 1 species
AUUGAACGCUGGCGGCAUGCCUUACACAUGCAAGUCGAGCGAGCGGCGGACGGGUGAGUAAUGUAUGGGGACUGCCCGGUAGCGGGGGAUAACUACUGGAAACAGUGGCUAAUACCGCAUACUAUAGGAGAACCCAUAUGGGAUUAGCUCGUAGGUGGGGUAAAGGCUCACCAAGGCGACGAUCUCUAGCUGGUCUGAGAGGAUGAACAGCAACACUGGGACUGAGACACGGCCCAGACUCCGACGGAGGCAGCAGUGGGGAAGAUGGCACAAUGGGGGCAAGCCUGAUGCAGCCAUGCCGCGUGUAUGAAGAAGGCCUUAGGGUUGUAAAGUACUUUCGGCGGGGAAGCGUUACCCGCAGAAGAAGCACCGGCUAACUACGUGCCAGCAGCCGCGGUAAUAC